rnacentral:rRNA from 1 species
UACGGAGGGUGCAAGCGUUUAUCCGGAUUUACUGGGUUUAAAAGGGUGCGUAGGUGGGUAGGUAAGUCAGUGGUGAAAUCUUCGAGCUUAACUCGGAAACUGCCAUUGAUACUAUUUAUCUUGAAUACUUUGGAGGUAAGCGGAAUAUGUCAUGUAGCGGUGAAAUGCUUAGAUAUGACAUAGAACACCAAUUGCGAAGGCAGCUUACUACACAGUUAUUGACACUGAGGCACGAAAGCGUGGGGAUCAAACAGG